rnacentral:tRNA from 1 species
UCGGUCGCAUAGCCCUGGUUCCAGUAGGGCUCGCCCAGCCAAUAGCCGAGCUCGACGGUCCUUUCGUCGGCGUGCGGCUCGACACCGCAGCAGCCGAG